AUUUGAAAAUUUUCAAAGCCAGGAUAAACAUUCACUAUAUCAAGACCAUGUAUGUGUCCCCAGACCUAGAUCUUUCCUUAGGUCUGGUUUUAUAAAUGGUAGUGAUAGGG
ensembl:snoRNA SNORA72 Small nucleolar RNA SNORA72